GGCGGCGUGGCCGAGUGGUUCAGGCAAGGGUCUGCAAAACCCUUUACCCCGGUUCAAUUCCGGGCGCCGCCUCGA
rnacentral:tRNA from 1 species